rnacentral:tRNA from 1 species
CUUUUAAAGGAUCCAAGUCUAAUC